GAGGUGGACCAACAAGACGCAACAUCCACGCCAUGCACACUCGCCUCCUCGAAUGUGGAGAUGCUGGAUGCUAGCAAACCAUGAUGCUAAGGCUACAUUUAGCAACACCAACGAAGGCUUGGCUAACUCUGGACUUUGAAAGUAAUUAAAAUACAGACGGGACUUAAUUAUGAUGGAUUUACUCAAUAACGUGACGUACACAAGUAUGUCUUUGGACACACAUGCAUAUCAGCCGCAGGCCCAAGUGAAGUCAGUGAAGGAAGGACCUUGGACUUGCCCACACAAAUGUCUAACUACAAUUUUCAGAAAAAUGAUGCGGAAGAGGAGUGGGUGGAAGGAAGGAUGGGAGAAUUGCAGGAAGCGGCUGAACCCGGAGCAGGUGAACACAGAUGUGGAUCGCCAUUACUGGUUCUCUGGCUGCCUUUCCCUUGGCCCCCGGCAAUUGUGUUCAAGGGUCCCACAAAGCCGGCAGGGGCCAGCCAACAUUUGCAGCAGAGUGGGCAGCCGAGGGCCUGGCCCGAGCCAGGAGAGAGGCAGGUGAGGCGGGCGAGCCGGAGCGCCCAUCGCCGCCGGCAAGGAGCCUCUGCGCAGUGAAAUCAAUACGAAGGAGAGAGGCUAGCAGAGGUUGGCCAGAACCGCCUGCGGGCCCCUCUGAGCCCUGGGACUCACCACAAUAGUGUUCCCACCUCCACCUCUUUCCAGCUUCCUUCAACAGCUCUGGCACCAGCCCGAUCCAGAGCCAUCACCGUUGCACCCGCCGCCCCACACAAAUCUUUCAGUGUGGGUUCGGCCUUGAGGGAGUUUUGCCAGGAACAUUUUGUCAGAGAGUCACAGAGGCGGGACACAAGGGUGGAAGAAAAGAAUAAGCAAAGACGUGGGAAAAAAGCAUGAUUCUGUUUGAAUGAGGAUUCACAGGGAAAGAACGAUAAACUAGACGAUCCAUCCAAGCCUGGUACACCUUCAUCUCACGGGCCUGGAUGAAAGGACAACUUUUUCUCCAAUCUGUUAUAUCAGACUUUCUCUUUUUUAUUGCUUUAUAUUUUCUGAGCUACACUAAGAGCACCCGCCUUCAGAGGAUAUGGAAGUGCAGUAUUGAUCCAAAAAGUGGAACGGUGGAAGGGGUCGGGGGGGGUUCAUGGUUUCCUCUCUCUGGGUGGAAGCGGAACCCGAAGUCCACUACUCACUGCUGUAAUGAAUGGCUGUAAAAGUAACACUUGCGCUUGGCCUUUUUUUUUUUUUUUACCUACAAAUGAGCUUAAUAACAGACUGAGAAGAUGUGACGCUUGGCUUUGGACCUAAAGCAUCUGAACACAGAGAGUUCCUACUUUUUGGCACUAAGAGGACAGCACAGGAAUGGUGACUGGGGUCCUUGCUGCAUGCACGUGGCAAGAUGGGAGGAGAGCAGGAAUACGAGGAACACGAUUGAAGCCCCACCAUGAUGAUGGAAAGCAGCGAUCAAGCAGACGCCCCUGCAACAAAGUGUUCUUUUUGUUGUUAUUUUUAUAGGUUUGGUGGAAGACACCAGCUGGAAAACAUCAUUUCAUGGAUUUUUGCAUGUGAGCAGGUAAGUCAGAGCAGCUUCCAAAAGGUGUGUUUAGGGGCAUUUUAGAGAGAAGAUAAUAAUAAUAAUAAAAAUAAUGUAGCACCCAAAAAGUACAAAUAAAUAUACACUACUGCAAUGAUAUUGACACAUAUACAAACUGAUAGAGAACACAACAAACAUGGUUUCAUUAUUAUAAUAACAAAUUCUGAACACAGUAUAUUCCAAUAGUAUGUAUAAAAGUGUUCAAGUACUAGGUUUCAGAUUGGAUUCGUUUAAUAAGUAUUGCAGUUAUAUUUUAUUAUGGAAUUUAUUGUAAAACAAAAAAAACAUUGCAAAAUGUGUGUGAUUUCAAUAAAUGGCUGAAUUAAAAACCUGCUUUUGUUUGUUUUUUUGUCUUCCUCAUAAUAUUCCUGCUUGAUAUGUUGAAUGUUUGCAUAUCUUUUGACAACACAACAGUAAACAUCUCAUCUAAUGAAGCCCCAAAACUCAUAAACACAUCCAAGUGACCAAUAAACUGUUCCUAUUUGGGUUCUACUGUGUCAGCUAUGCAUUGGAUAUCCAUAUAAAACAAUUGCAGCAUUUAUGCAUUGGGUUUCUGCUUGAGUUGUAUGUUUUGAAAACAAUGGUCAGUCACACCUUGAAGUGGACAUUAAUUGCCAAUCAUUGUGUUUGGGCUUGUUUAGCAUUAGCUGCCGUUGGAGUUGGAAAGGCAAGGUGAGUAGCGGAGAGUGAGAGUUGUGGACCAUCAUACAAACCACCUUCAUAACUACAGUGACGACCAUGAUCAGUACAAUGUAACCAGAGUUAAAAUCCCCAAUCUUCCCCACACUCUUCUUGGCCCUUGAAUGCAACAUGUCUCAUGACAGGCUCACCUGAUUUCAACUAGCUAAUCACAAGAUCCACAGCACUAUAUAAGCUACCCUGAUGUCAUUCUACUGUGGGAUAGAAGCCCAGGGAUGCUGGCUACAGGUCACUGUUUCCAAACAAUUUGUUUUUUAUUGGGACCAGACCAUUGCCUUUUUUGGGGGGGUCUUUUGUGCUUUUUGAAUCAACUAAACCGUUGAGUUGAAUCUAAUAGUGACAAUGUUGCUAGCUUUAUACUGGGUUGAUUUCUGAUGCUAACACAUGUUGGGAAUGGUUCUAUGGAAGUUUUUGGAGUAUUUAAAGGUGUUGGUUUGCUAAUGUUAGGUUAACAUUAGCAUUGUUAGCCUAUUUGAUAUGAAGUGGAUUAUUUAGUUCAUGCAGGCUAAGUGCCCUGCCUGUGGGAUCCAAUCCUUUGAUGGUGAGCUAAGAAACAAGGCCAGGAGUCUGGACACCCUGCUUCAAUUUAUUCGCCUACGGUGGCAUUUACCCAAAGCUCAUGACCAUAGGUGAGGGUAGGAAUGUAGCUCGACCGGUAAAUUGAGAGCUUCGCCAUUCCGGUCAGCAGUCUUCACCACCACGGACUGACGUAGAGUCGGCAUCAGUACCCCAAGGUACUUCAACUAUUCCACUUGGGGAAGGAUCUCAUCCCUGACCCGGAGAUGGCACUCCACCCUUUUUCCGUGUGAGAACCAGGAAUGACCGCCAAUACAUGGCCACACAUGCACACACUUGAAAUACGGUGACCAUCAAGUCGUUUUGAGUGUCCUGCGAGGCGAGGCGGAGGUCAUCAGGGAGGUGGAAAAGCUCUUUAAUGGUGGGAAUGAUAGCAUAACACCUAUAGAUGGAGUCACGGAUCACAUCGCAUGCAGUUUGGGUACACUUGUACAACUCUCUGAUGAUGGACCGCUUACUUCCAUGAGUGCUGCUAAAGUGGAAGAAACCAAUAUCCUUUUGUAGGUUUUUGUUCUUUGCACUGCGAAUGAGCUUGAAUUCCAAGGACAUGAAGUUACCAUUUUACUUAUGUUGAUGCUAAUAUGUUGUUGUUGAAAUAAACACUCAAAUACAAAU